rnacentral:lncRNA from 1 species
UCACAGAGAUAUCAAAAAUAUCUGAUGUACUUCGAUGAAAAUGAGGGACAGAUUCAUGAGAAAAGUUCAGCGUGAACACCAUAGAUGUCUCCAUACAUCCCGUGGUAUUAGAAUGUGUAAGCAUAUGAUGACAUGCUUUUCAACUUGGGAUGCAGAUAAUGCUAAUGAUAUCUUAUGGAAUCCUUGUGUAGGUUGUAGAACUCCUGUCAGCAUUUUCUCAGCCGCUCCUAUAUAGUCUCAUGCACAAGGAAAAUUGACAGCAUAUAUGCAUGGACGGAAUACCCUUUCUGUUAUAAUUUGGCACCGCUAUAAAAACUCAUGCAAGGAUUCAGAUGCUUGCAUAGCACUGGGCUUUGGGGAUAUAUUGCUAGUUAUUGUCCGACUAGAUGUAUCAUGUCUUUCUCAUUGCCAUAUUUGCCAUUCUUCAAUUCUUACAUCCAGUAGCCUAUAUAUGAAUGUAAGAUGAAAACAUAUUCCAUGGUGCAAGUUGGAUAAACAUGCUUUUUAAUUAUUCCUGUUCUAUAUGGAUGGCUUUUAACAUUUGACAAUAAAUGCUCAUUUUUUAAAAGG